rnacentral:rRNA from 1 species
AAAGAGAGGCGGGUCUUACCAUUACAAGUCGAGCGGUAAGGCCCUUCGGGGUACACGAGCGGCGAACGGGUGAGUAACACGUGAGCAACCUGCCCCCGACUCCGGGAUAAGCGGUGGAAACGCCGUCUAAUACCGGAUACGACCGGCCACCUCAUGGCGGCCGGUGGAAAGUUUUUCGGUUGGGGAUGGGCUCGCGGCCUAUCAGCUUGUUGGUGGGGUAAAGGCCUACCAAGGCGAUUACGGGUAGCCGGCCUGAGAGGGCGACCGGCCACACUGGGACUGAGACACGGCCCAGACUCCUGCGGGAGGCAGCAGUGGGGAAUAUUGCGCAAUGGGCGAAAGCCUGACGCAGCGACGCCGCGUGGGGGAUGACGGCCUUCGGGUUGUAAACCUCUUUUACCACCAACGCAGGCUCCCAGUUCUCUGGGGGUUGACGGUAGGUGGGGAAUAAGGACCGGCUAACUACGUGCCAGCAGCCGCGGUAAUACGUAGGGUCCGAGCGUUGUCCGGAAUUAUUGGGCGUAAAGAGCUCGUAGGCGGCGUGUCGCGUCUGCUGUGAAAGACCGGGGCUUAACCCCGGUUCUGCAGUGGAUACGGGCAUGCUAGAGGUAGGUAGGGGAGACUGGAAUUCCUGGUGUAGCGGUGAAAUGCGCAGAUAUCAGGAGGAACACCGGUGGCGAAGGCGGGUCUCUGGGCCUUACCUGACGCUGAGGAGCGAAAGCAUGGGGAGCGAACAGGAUUAGAUACCCUGGUAGUCCAUGCCGUAAACGUUGGGCGCUAGGUGUGGGGACUUUCCACGGUUUCCGCGCCGUAGCUAACGCAUUAAGCGCCCCGCCUGGGGAGUACGGCCGCAAGGCUAAAACUCAAAGGAAUUGACGGGGGCCCGCACAAGCGGCGGAGCAUGUUGCUUAAUUCGACGCAACGCGAAGAACCUUACCAAGGUUUGACAUCACCCGUGGACCUGCAGAGAUGUGGGGUCAUUUAGUUGGUGGGUGACAGG